UACGUAGGGUGCAAGCGUUACUCGGAAUUACUGGGCGUAAAGCGUGCGUAGGUGGUUUGUUAAGUCUGUUGUGAAAGCCCCGGGCUCAACCUGGGAAUGGCAAUGGAUACUGGCAAGCUAGAGUGCGGUAGAGGGUAGUGGAAUUCCCGGUGUAGCGGUGAAAUGCGUAGAGAUCGGGAGGAACACCAGUGGCGAAGGCGGCUACCUGGACCAGCACUGACACUGAGGCACGAAAGCUAGGGGAGCAAACAGG
rnacentral:rRNA from 1 species